GACGAACGCUGGCGGCGUGCUUAACACAUGCAAGUCGAACGGAAAGGCUCCAGCUUGCUGGAGUGCUCGAGUGGCGAACGGGUGAGUAACACGUGGGCAAUCUGCCCUGCACUCUGGGAUAAGCCUGGGAAACUGGGUCUAAUACCGGAUAGGACCUUUCUCCUCAUGGGGUUUGGUGGAAAGUUUGUCGGUGCAGGAUGAGCCCGCGGCCUAUCAGCUUGUUGGUGGGGUAAUGGCCUACCAAGGCGACGACGGGUAGCCGGCCUGAGAGGGUGAUCGGCCACAUUGGGACUGAGAUACGGCCCAGACUCCGACGGGAGGCAGCAGUGGGGAAUAUUGCACAAUGGGCGAAAGCCUGAUGCAGCGACGCCGCGUGAGGGAUGACGGCCUUCGGGUUGUAAACCUCUUUCAGUAGGGACGAAGCGCAAGUGACGGUACCUGCAGAAGAAGCACCGGCUAACUACGUG
rnacentral:rRNA from 1 species